UGCACCCAGAGACCAAAGGACACCGUGAUUUGAUCCCCUGAGCUGAAUGCUUUCCAUGUUCCAGGCAGUGUGACAGUGUCUCUCACGUGAGAAAGGAACAGGGAUUCUCUGUAUAGCCCUGCUGUCCUGGAACUCAUGCUGCAGAUGAGGCUGACCCUUGAAGUGAGAGAGCUGCUUGCCCCUGCCUUCUUACUGCUGAGAUUAAAGGUCUGUGUAUCAUUUUUGAGAUAAACUCAGUGUAAACUAUAAGGCAAAGACAUGUUCGAAUUUAAUCUACAUAUAACACCCAGCAUGGAGAGAAUCAGAAACCAAGAGCAUGGUGUACUCAGUCUAACCCACAGGUUAUGGAGGCAGGGCUGACACAGCGACCUCCUCAUGUGGAAUCACCCGGAACCAUUUCUGUUCCAGCUCUUCUGUUUUUUGGCAAGUGCAUGUGAGUUUCUGGAUGACUUAUACUGAUUUUAGAUCAAGCAUGAGACUCAGAAUAGUUACUGGGUGACAUAAAAUGACAGAAACACCUUUGUACUGAGCGGAACUUCUGUGUUGGUGAAAUGAUAAAUAUAAAUGCAAACGAAAACUAAUAAAAAUUGAGGAUGAAAGUCUAGGUGACUUUCUGGUGGCUGUGCAGAUGAGAAGUCGGACAGUGGCACUGCAGUUUGCUCUGAUUGACUCUGGAGCCUGUGUUUGAAGCUACAGCAAUACAACAGUCUGCUCCAGCGCUGAGCUUGUAGGAAGGCGACCACUCCAGGCCGACUCAAUGGCUUUAGCCUCCAGAGUUAUCGUCGGUGA
rnacentral:lncRNA from 1 species